GGUUUGGGGUCUAGAACCUCAGAUGGCUGUGCAGGCCUGGGCAAAUUACUGCAUUUCAGCCUCAGUUUCCUCCUCUGCAAAGAGGAGGAGACAGGACCAUCUGGCGACCCUGAGAUGAAUUUCGGUGGCAACAUUCCACAAGCCAAGGAGGGGCAAGUCUGAACUCCUGGAAAACAGACAGGGCCGGUCUCAAGCACGGUGCGUGCAGCUGUGGCCCAGGCAGAAGACUGGUGGGGGGACGACAAGGGGAUGUACCUGUUCAGCUGGCCUGUGUGAGAGAAUCUCCAGGAUCAGCAACAGAGGGGCUGCUAGCCCCAAGAAAAGAGUAUAACUGGACAUUAGCCAGGACUCAGGCCCAAACCAAAUGAACGGCCCCUUGCCCACUGUCCCGAGCCUCUGGCUGCAUCUCCCUGCCCCUCCAGGCUGGGACCGGUCUCAGAGCCUCCCCUCCACCAUGAGUCAUGCCACCUUCUAUAGGUCAAGUCCAUCUGAUCCGGUGCAGCAAACCUCAGCUUAGCCCCUGCUCCGAUGCCAAGUGCGGGGGGCACACGCAUUAUCCAGGAAAACGACACACACAGUAGUGUUCCCUCAUUUUGAUUUAGGAAUGUAGGUGUCCAUGCGGAUCGACUAGUAGUCAAGUCUGCUAAGAGGCAAUUGGACUGAAUAAAAUAUGACCCAGUCUCUGCCCUUGAGGACCAGCUUUUGAAAAACACCCCUACUGACCUGAAAGGAAUACACAGGAGAGAGGAAACCCAUUCCACCCCCAGGGAGCAUUCUGGCUAACGGAGAAGGUUGUACAAACUGGCGCCUCAGCAUCCCUCCAGGAAGAAAGCCACAGCUGUCCCACCCUCACCGGACCCAUGCCUGCUGCCUCAAGGUGUCCCCCUACCAGCUUUAAUCUGGAUGGGGAUCAUGUCCCCCUCCUCGUGGGUUGUCCCCUGUGCUGCUGUCCCACUGGGUCCUAGACAGCCUGCUCUGCACCCUCCCCCCCGUGCCAUCCCUCUCUCUCUCCCUCCCCUGCUACCUCUCUCUUCUCUGCUGUUUAUUAAAAUAAAAACAUGCAUUAGCUC